CAGCAGGAGACAACUGGCUGUGCUAAAUCGCUAACGUUUAUAACACGAUGAAUCGAAGCGGAGGCUGGGAGAAGGUUUAAAGGGAAGCAGAAUCCUCCAACCUGAACUGCUGCCUUUCAGAUGAAACCCAGCAAACGCUCUGAUCCGUCAGAUUGCUCUUGUUGCCUAUUUCAUUCCAUGGGGAAGGAGCCUGUCCUUGGCAUGGAGGGAAAGCACUGUGUGAAGGGCUGAGUCCAAGAGGCAGCAUAGGCUGUGCCAACCAAACUCUGCGGAACAGCUGCAGUUCUCCCUCUGCCCAUUGGCCUUAAUGUCUUCAUGUUUUCUGCACCAGAUCUACACAUCAUCUCACCCUGAGAGGCACAGCUUUAGCUGAGGGAAUGAGUACACUGAGACAGCAAGCACCAGCCUUCAGAGCCGUAAAUUGAAACUAAAGGGGAGAUUGAAAAGCAGCAGCUUGUACCACAUAACCAGUGACCUUCCUGAAGAACUUUAAUGCCUGAAACAGCCAAAAAUUUGUUUUGAAUCAAUUCAAUAUCACCUCUGCACUCAGCAAUCUCUACCUCUGAAAAAGGCUAUGAAGAGCAACGUGGUUGGCUAAGGCAGCCUGGCAGCAUUUUGCUUACAGCGGUGUAGAUGGCACUUCUCCUUAAUGGGAUUGAAU